CCCCUAGAUGUUCUGGGCCGCACGCGCGCUACACUGAACAGUUCAACAAGUCUUAACCUUGGCCGAUAGGUCUGGGUAAUCUUUGAACGCUGUUCGUGAUUGGGAUAGACCUUUGAAAUUAUGGGUCUUCAACGAGGAAUUCCUAGUAAACGCAAGUCAUCAGCUUGCAUUGAUUACGUCCCUGCCCUUUGUACACACCGCCCGUCGCACCUACCGAUUGAAUGGUCCGGUGAAAUCUCGGGACGGCGGCUUGGUCGCUUGCGUCCGACUGCUGAAACUUGAUUAAACCAUAUCAUUUAGAGGAAGGUGAAGUCGUAACA
rnacentral:rRNA from 1 species